CACGUAGGGUGCGAGCGUUUGUCCGGAAUUAUUGGGCGUAAAGAGCUCGUAGGCGGUGUGUCGCGUCGGCCGUGAAAACCUGGGGCUUAACUCUGGGCUUGCGGUCGAUACGGGCAUCACUGGAGUUCGGCAGGGGAGACUGGAAUUCCUGGUGUAGCGGUGAAAUGCGCAGAUAUCAGGAGGAACACCGGUGGCGAAGGCGGGUCUCUGGGCCGAUACUGACGCUGAGGAGCGAAAGCGUGGGGAGCGAACAGG
rnacentral:rRNA from 1 species